UUGUUGGAUACUUAUUGUCAGGCAUCUGGGCAGGAAAUUAAUCAUGAUAAGUCAUUGGUUUUCUUUAGCAAGGGUUGCUUACAGUCAGUUAAAGAGAAAAUGAAAACUAUCCCAAACAUUCAGAAUGAGAGUUUGUCUGAGAAAUACCUGGGCAUGCCUGUUGAUGUAGGUAGUUGCAAGAAUGAGGCCUUUAAGUAUUUGAAAGAAAGAGUAUGGAGCAAAGUAAAAGUAUGGAUGGAAAAAAUUAUUUUAUCGGGUGGAAAGGAAGUGUUAAUUAAGUCAAUUGUCCAAGCAGCACCAGUUACUACCUUGAGGAUUGUGCCACCACAUCAACUCCAUCAUUCGAAAAUUCUGGUGAGGUAG
rnacentral:rRNA from 1 species